GCGCUGACGGCUGGGGCGCCCGCGACUCCCCAGUGCCCCGAGUGCCCCGCGUGCCCCGCGAGCGGGAGUGGGACCCAGCCCCAGGCAGAACCCAGGCGCCGCGCCCGAGACGCCCGCGGUGAGAGCCACUCCCGCCCACGUCCCAUUUCGCCCCUCGCGUCCCGAGUCCCCGUGGCCAGGGUUUCACUUCCAUCGCCCAGGCUGGAAUGCAAUGGCGUGAUCUGGGCUCACUGCAACCUCCACCUCCCAGGCUCAAAUGAUUCUCCUGCCUCAGCCUCCUGAGUAGAGUAGCUGGGACCACAGUCACAUGCCAUGGUGCUCGGCUAAUUUUUUUGUAUUUUAUUUUUGUAAUGACAGGGUCUCAUUAUGUUGCCCAGGCUGGUCUCAAACUUCUGAGCUCAAAUGAUCUGCCUGCGUCAGCCUCCCAAAGUGCUGGGAUUAUAGGCAUGGGCCACUGUGCCUGGCCUCGUCUUUUCAUUUUAAAGAAUAUAUCAGCAGGAAUUAUUGGACCUGCAUGGUUUAAACUAUUGUCUUAGUUAAUUUUGUGCUGCUCUAACAAAAUAUCACAGACUGAGUUAUUUAUAAGCAAUAGUAGCUUAUUUGGCUCACAGUUCUGGAGGCUGAGAAGAUCGUGAGGCUGCAUCUGGCAAGGGCCUUCUUGCUGCUUCAUAACAUGGCAGAAGACAUCAUGUGGGUGUGUGUCUGGGAAAGACACAGAAGUAGAGUUGCUGAGUCAAAGAUCUAACCAUGAGCUACCCUGGCUAUCCCCCACCCC
rnacentral:sRNA from 1 species